rnacentral:misc_RNA from 1 species
UUUCCGUUGGUGAACCUGCGGAAGGAUCAUUAUUGUAUAACCGAGUUGCGAAGCCUGACGCUCCCCCGAAACGUCUUGCCCGCGCGAGUGCCCUCACACACAUCACUCUCAACCCUAUGUCCACCCACGCGCGGGUGCCCCCUUGGCUUGUUAGGUGGGGGGACUACGUUUUAACUCACACUUUGCAUGCAGUCUGCUGUGUAUUUUCUGUUUUUGCGAUAACGCACUCAAUCCAAGUUUCAACGACGGAUGUUUUGGCUCCCGCAUCGAUGCAGCACG